CGUGGCAAUAGCGUCCACCGUUUUUCAACUAUAAAAUUAGUGUACCCCUAGAAUUUAGAGCAAAAACAAUUAUUUCAACCCGCAAAAUACCGUUCUUUAUUUUCCCGUCUGUCUUUACCACGUUCAGAAAUGCUGCGUACUGUCGCAUAUUUUAUGAUUGUACUGCUGAUGCUGCUGGUACUGUGCAAUGCGGCCGACCCCACCGGCACCUGCCUGAUGAAGGGCGCCGCCUGCCGACCGGAUGGCAGUGACGGGGGAUUCUGCUGCCGCGGCAUCUGUAUGGCCGAUGUCGACACCGGACGCGGUUUCUGUACUCAAUAGGCGUCGUUAUCUUUGAGGAAAAUACCGGCAAACUCCUUGUAUACGUAUAUUAAAAGGCUGUAGCAUUAAUAAUUCCGACGAUUGAAUUUCGAUUUUUGUUAAGUGUCUACUUAUGUACUGCACAUACACUUGUACCCACCUGUGUUUAGCGGUUUCUGCGGCCUUUUCUAAUAAUCAAUGCUUAUGUAUCUGUACCAUAAACAGAUGCGCAAGUUUUUUUUUGUAAUUAUGUGCUAAGGUGUUACGUAAUGGAGUUCUAAUAAUACUGAUGCAUUUACUGCAUUUCUGAUCAGAUUACGGAAUUGAAUAAAUCAUGUAAGAUGUCAUUUCUAGAUAUAACGGUUUUUAUUUUCCAGGUAAUUGUCUCCACCAGCGUUCGGUUUUAAGGCGUCUGUCAAAUGAAAAUCGGCAAGACAAAGAUACUCACGCUCGUUAUAAGUCAGUGGACGGGUGAGCAAAGUAUACUCAGCGCGCACCGGUCCCCACUCAAGUUCAUUAACGCCGAAUAUUAUGCAAUCCAUAACGGUGUACACAGAAAAUCAUCAACAACGACUGACACAAUUGUAACCAGCGCUAACAUUGGCUACAGUCCUUCUCCACGGCACGUGGACACCACUUAACCCCCUCCGAGCGUUGAAUAAGUUCAUUGCUCAAAAUUACACAGGGAAUCGUAACCGGCACAAAAGCCAGUUUACACUAAAAUUAUCGUCAUUUGCAUGCAUGUGGAGAUAUACAUGCAUAUUGUUGGUUGAACGAUACCGCGUUGGAAAAGGUACAUAGAGCAGUCACUGUGUACAAAAUUCAGUUUUGUCUUAUAAUCUACAUCUGUGUUUUUAUCGGCCGGUGCGGAUCUGGCGCGUUUUGUUACACUAAACUAACCGGCACAAUGGAUUUAACGGAAGGACUGCAUUCCUUCUUCAUGGUUCUGUUAUCUCUGACUGGUAUAUCGCAUACCCAACAGAUCUCUCUGCACACGCAGUCCCUAAUGCAGCUCCUGCGCCAGGAACGCCCUGGUCCGCGCAACCAGUCGCACGGGAUGAUGGGCAGUCCCAGCGACACCGUAUAUUACAUUCCGCCCAAGCGCAAUCAGCGCCAGUCACCCCGUUUAUAUGACCUACACUUUGCGGCUUACACGGCAUACGACGGGGAGCUUUCCGGGGCGCCUUAUGGG